rnacentral:pre_miRNA from 1 species
ACUGUAAGAGGUACUCGGGUAGCCAGGCUGACUUGCCCGUGGAACCCGACGCCGCCCUCGAGCUCGGCUCCCAGGAGGUUCCACAGGCAAAUCAUCCUUGGCUACCGAAGAUGGCCUCUUACCU